rnacentral:rRNA from 1 species
UACGUAGGGACCAAGCGUUGUUCGGAUUUACUGGGCGUAAAGGGCGCGUAGGCGGCGUGGUAAGUCACUUGUGAAAUCUCUGAGCUUAACUCAGAACGGUCAAGUGAUACUGCUGUGCUAGAGUGCGGAAGGGGCAAUCGGAAUUCUUGGUGUAGCGGUGAAAUGCGUAGAUAUCAAGAGGAACACCUGAGGUGAAGACGGGUUGCUGGGCUGACACUGACGCUGAGGCGCGAAAGCCAGGGGAGCAAACGGG